CCUACGGGAGGCUGCAGUGGGGGAUAUUGCACAAUGGGGGAAACCCUGAUGCAGCGACGCCGCGUGGGUGAAGAAGCGCCUCGGCGCGUAAAGCCCUGUCAGCAGGGAAGAAAAUGACGGUACCUGGAGAAGAAGCCCCGGCUAACUACGUGCCAGCAGCCGCGGGAAUCCGUAGGGGGCAAGCGUUAGCCGGAUUUAAGGGGUGUAAAGGGGGCGCGGACGGCGAUGGAAGCCAGGAGUGAAAGCCCGGGGCCCAACCCCGGGACUGCUCUAGGAACUGCGUGGCUAGAGUGCAGGAGUGGCAGGUGGAAUUCCUGGUGUAGCGGUGAAAUGCGUAGAUAUCAGGAGGAACACCGGUGGCGAAGGCGGCCUGCUGGACUGCAACUGACGUUGAGGCCCGAAAGCAUGGGGAGCAAACAGGAUUAGAUACCCUAGUAGUC
rnacentral:rRNA from 1 species